GAUUAACGCUGGCGGCGUGCCUAACACAUGCAAGUCGAACGAGGUAGCAAUACCUAGUGGCAGACGGGUGAGUAACGCGUGGUCAACCUACCGUUGAGUGGGGGAUAACUAGCCGAAGGUUAGCUAAUACCGCAUACGUCUCCGAGUGGCAUCACUUGGCGAUAAAAGGAAGCAAUCCGCUCGAUGACGGGACCGCGUCCCAUUAGCUAGAUGGUGGGGUAACGGCCUACCAUGGCACCGAUGGGUAGCUGGUUUGAGAGAGCGACCAGCCACACUGGGACUGAGAAACGGCCCAGACUCCUACGGGAGGCAGCAGUGAGGAAUUUUCCGCAAUGGCGCAAGCCUGACGGAGCGACGCCGAGUGUGGGAAGAAGGCCUUCGGGUCGUAACC
rnacentral:rRNA from 1 species